rnacentral:rRNA from 1 species
UACGUAGGGUGCAAGCGUUAAUCGGAAUACUGGGCGUAAAGCGUGCGCAGGCGGUUAUGUAAGACAGUUGUGAAAUCCCCGGGCUCAACCUGGGAACUGCAUCUGUGACUGCAUAGCUAGAGUACGGUAGAGGGGGAUGGAAUCCGCGUGUAGCAGUGAAAUGCGUAGAGAUGCGGAGGAACACCCGAUGGCCGAAGGCAGCCCCCUGGGCUAGCCACUGA